rnacentral:rRNA from 1 species
CCCCUAGAUGUUCUGGGCCGCACGCGCGCUACACUGAACAGUUCAACAAGUCUUAACCUUGGCCGAUAGGUCUGGGUAAUCUUUGAACGCUGUUCGUGAUUGGGAUAGACCUUUGCAAUUAUGGGUCUUCAACGAGGAAUUCCUAGUAAACGCAAGUCAUCAGCUUGCAUUGAUUACGUCCCUGCCCUUCGUACACACCGCCCGUCGCACCUACCGAUUGAAUGGUCCGGUGAAAUCUCGGGACGGCGGCUUGGUCGCUUGCGUCCGACUGCUGAAACUUGAUUAAACCAUAUCAUUUAGAGGAAGGUGAAGUCGUAACA